rnacentral:rRNA from 1 species
UAGUCCACGCCGUAAACGAUGAUAACUAGCUGUCCGGACUCAUAGAGUUUGGGUGGCGCAGCUAACGCGAUAAGUAGACCGCCUGGGGAGUACGGCCGCAAGGUUAAAACUCAAAUGAAUUGACGGGGGCCCGCACAAGCGGUGGAGCAUGUGGUUUAAUUCGAUGCAACGCGAAGAACCUUACCAGGUCUUGACAUCCUGAAAACUUUCUAGAGAUAGAUUGGUGCCUUCGGGAAUUCAGUGACAGGUGCUGCAUGGCUGUCGUCAGCUCGUGUCGUGAGAUGUUGGGUUAAGUCCCGUAACGAGCGCAACCCUUGUCCUUAGUUGCUAGCAGGUAAUGCUGAGAACUCUAAGGAGACUGCCGGUGACAAACCGGAGGAAGGUGGGGACGACGGUCAAGUCAUCAUGGCCCUUACGACCUGGGCUACACACGUGCUACAAUGGGCAGUACAAAGGGCCGCUAAGCCGCGAGGUGGAGCAAAUCCUAUAAAACUGUUCGUAGUCCGGAUUGG